rnacentral:lncRNA from 1 species
GAGCGCGAGGACCCCCUGUGACCUCUGGAGGGGUAUCCUCCUUUGAUUAGGUGGCUAAUCAGGUGACUUGGAGUUAAUAAAAAAAGGAGACAAUGCCUGGAACCUGCAUCAGGUGAGCCCUGGGCCCUCCCUGAAAGACAUUUGAGAUGUGAGAGGGCUCACAUGAGAGGAAGCAUCCCCAUGUUUGGCUUUUGGGUUUUGAAGAUGAAGGGGCCACCUGGCAGGAAUGCAGGUGACCUCCAGGAGCUGAGGGUCAGCAAGGAAUGAGGGCCUCAUCCCUAUAGCCACAAGGAGCUCCAUCCAGCCAGCAUAUGAAUGGGCUGGGAAAAGUGUUCUUCCCUGGGGCCAUCACAUAGUGGACAAUAAAUCCCUGGGGACCUGAACCACCUAGGGUGGAGGUGGCCAACACCUGCCGUAUGAGGCAUCCCUGGCCCUGCCUGACCGCAGAGAGCCAGCCGAGCUAGGCACUGGCUUUGCAAGACGUCUCCAGAUCAUGCAGGGUCAAACGUUUCUACUUUUUGCAUGCCUAUUAAUUUUUUAUUGUAUGCUGAACAUCAUGAAUGAUACAUUUCAGACCUUUUGAUUCUGUGUCUUCCUGUGAAGAAUGUUGAUUUAAGUAACUUGUGGAUCACCUGACUCCUGCAGAGAUGUGGUUUUAAGCUUUGUCAGGGCAGGUCCAUUUAUAUUCAUGCCUUAGUCCUGGAAUGUAGCCCUUGAUUCUGGGAUGUGGCCCUUGUGGGUUUCUCAUGGAAUUCCAAAAUGCUUAUAAAGAAACAAAGAUAAACUCUGAAAAGCAGAAAAUAAAGAACAACUGAUCAUGUACAGGGAGAAGUGAUUAAUGGCUGACUUCUUAUCAGAAUUAAUGAUGACAAGAAGACAGUAAAAUGCCAUUCAAUGUGCAAAAAAAAAAACCUCAACCAAAAAUUCUAUAGCUAGUAAAUCCUUCAAAAUUGAAUAAGCAAUAAAAACAUUCUCAGUCAAACAAAAAGAAUGAGUUUCUAGAAGCUCUGCUCUAUAAGAAGGAGUAAAGGAAGUGCCUCAGGCUAACAGGAAAUGGAUCUACAGGAAGAAAGGAAGAACACUGGAAAUGGUAAAUAUGUGGAUAAUAUGAAAGACUGAGUACACACAUACACAAACGUAAACACAUGCUUAAUGUUUUUUAAACACCAGCAAGACUGUCUAAGGCAAAAAUUACAACACUGUAUCAUUUGAUUUAUUAAAUACAAUAGGCGGCUUCUACUUCUGGAAGAUGGAGUAGAUACUUUUUCUAUUCAUCCUUGCUAAGUACAGCUAAAUGCUUUGGGUGUUAUAUAUAAAACAAACAUAAGAAAUACAAAAAAGUGAAAAGAAGAAAGAAAGCUGUCUAGGGACCUCAGGAUCUCAAGAACAUCAUGGAAUUGAGUUCCCUGGGUUUUCUUUUUGCCUUAAAUAUCCCAGACUUGGUGCUAAAUAAUCUGGGGACAUGGAAAUGCCAAUGUGUGCAGACCAAAACAGCCCCAACAAAAGCCUGUUCUCUCUUGGUAAAGGAUGAGGAAAUGGGCAAGCUAGUAAUAUAGAAAAUUUUUAGACAAGAACCUCUCCACACCUGCCAAAUACCACACAAAUAGCUGCAGCCCUAACCCCACCCUUGCCCUUUAAAACUGCAGGGGGAGCGUAGCUCUCUACCCUUGUGGGGUUGUAAGAAGGCACAUCAGCCCCUCCACUGGGGUAGUGUCAAAGAAGGCUGAAUGAGGAGUAAGGACUUUCAUCCAUGCCAGGAGGCAGUGGGACACUACACCCCACAGCGUCAGGGGAGACCAUGUGGAGAGCCUGGAUUUCCAUUCUCACUCAUCGCUAAUGAGUGACCCCUCCCCAUCCCUACUGAAGUGGAAUCAAGACAUAAAGGUCAGCAGUCGCAAGGUCAUCCCAAGGUCAAUGGAAGCAAUGUGGGGAUGAGUGAUGAGGCAUCCCUGGGCCUUUCAGCCAAGGUUUAAUCAGUGCAGCCCUAGCAGAGGAUUUUAACUCCUACCUCUGCCCAACAGAAAGGAGGAUUCUCUCCUUUCCUUGGAUCUCAGUGGAGGUUGAGAGGAAACCUUGACUUCCACCUCCGUCUGGCAGCAACAAAACAGUAUUCCUCUUUCUCAGUGGGGCAGUGUCAGUGGAGGCCUGAUGAAAUAGGUUUAAAUAUAUUCUAGGAUCCAAAAAUAUAACACCAAAAAUGUCAGGUUUUCAAUUUAAAAAUUACUAAUUAUACCAAGAAACAAAAAAAUAACAGCUUGAAUGAAGAAAGACAAUCAACAGAUGCUUAAACCAAGGCUCCAUAGAUGUUGAAAUUAUCAGAUGAAGGCUUUAAAACAGCUAUACUAAAAAUGCCUCGAAAAACACGUUCAACCCAAAU